rnacentral:rRNA from 1 species
GGGACCUCAGGUCAGGC